rnacentral:rRNA from 1 species
GCGUGCUUAACACAUGCAAGUCGAGCGAUGAAACUACUUCGGUAGUGAAUUAGCGGCGAACGGGUGAGGAACACGUGAGGAAUCUGCCUUCAACACUGGGAUAACUCCGGGAAACCGGGGCUAAUACCGGAUACGAGCCUUGAUCGCAUGAUCGAGGCUGGAAAGUUUUUCGGUUGAAGAUGACCUCGCGGCCUAUCAGCUUGUUGGUGAGGUAAUGGCUCACCAAGGCGACGACGGGUAGCCGGCCUGAGAGGGCGACCGGCCACACUGGGACUGAGACACGGCCCAGACUCCUACGGGAGGCAGCAGUGGGGAAUAUUGGGCAAUGGAGGAAACUCUGACCCAGCGACGCCGCGUGCGGGAUGAAGGCCUUCGGGUUGUAAACCGCUUUCAGUAGGGAAGAAGCGAAAGUGACGGUACCUACAGAAGAAGCACCGGCUAACUAUGUGCCAGCAGCCGCGGUAAUACAUAGGGUGCAAGCGUUGUCCGGAAUUAUUGGGCGUAAAGAGCUCGUAGGUGGUUUGAUACGUCGGGUGUGAAAUUCAGGGGCUUAACCCCAGACCUGCAUUCGAUACGGGCGAGCUUGAGUAUGGUAGGGGAGUCUGGAAUUCCUGGUGUAGCGGUGGAAUGCGCAGAUAUCAGGAGGAACACCAAUGGCGAAGGCAGGACUCUGGGCCAUUACUGACACUGAGGAGCGAAAGCGUGGGGAGCGAACAGGAUUAGAUACCCUGGUAGUCCACGCCGUAAACGGUGGGCACUAGUUGUGGGGACCUUCCACGGUCUCUGCGACGCAGCUAACGCAUAAGUGCCCCGCCCUGGG